GGGCCAUCGUGACUAAUUACAGCGCCAGCGUAACUGAACCUUUUGCACCGUUUUCUUCGUUACCACCAACUGAUUGUUUAACUGAAAUCACGUGACGAAGCCAAACUGUCGUUUUAUACUUCACACCUCUGCACUUUCAACAAUUUCAUAAGGCUCCUAUCUCAUGUUUCCAUCACCCAUCAGCGUGCUUGUGCACUCUGUUACUCCAAACGACGCCGUUCCCUCACACCCUCGGAGCUCGGACCAUGGCGGCCAUUGACGACGGAGGCAAGGCGGAGAAAUUCAUCAGUGGGAGAGAAGAAUUCGGCAACUCAUCCAACACGUUCAGCGCGAUUCUAGCGAUGGCGCUGUGGCUGGGAGCCAUUCACUUCAACAUUGCCCUCAUCCUCUUCGCCCUCUUCUUCCUUCCUCUCCCCAAAUUACUGUUGGUUUUUGGUUUUCUGUUUGUGUUUGCAGUGCUUCCUAUCGACGAGAAGAGCAGAUUUGGCCGAACAUUGUCGAGGUUCAUUUGCAAACACGCUUGCAAUUAUUUUCCCAUCACGCUUCACGUAGAGGAUAUGAACGCCUUUGAUCCGAACCGUGCUUAUGUUUUUGGUUAUGAACCACAUUCGGUUUUGCCAAUUGGCAUUGUGGCACUAGCUGACCACACUGGUUUCAUGCCUCUUCCAAAAGUUAGAGUUCUUGCUAGCAGCACGGUGUUCUACACACCAUUUUUGAGACACAUAUGGACAUGGUUGGGUCUUACACCAGCAACAAAGAAAAACUUUAUCUCCUUGCUAGCGUCUGGCCAUAGUUGCAUUUUAACACCUGGUGGAGUGCAAGAGACAUUCCUCAUGCAACAUGGCAUUGAGAUUGUUUUCCUUAAGGCACGAAGAGGAUUUGUCCGCAUAUCAAUGGUGAAAGGCCUACCUUUGGUUCCUGUUUUCUGCUUCGGUCAGGUAUUUGUUUCUGAUGGAAUCAAAUUUCAGUUUACUGUGCAACAAUCAUCUGCAUCUCUCUCUCUCUCUCUCUCUCUCUCUCUACAUUCUUCUGCUCAUUCUCUGGUAUCAGGAACCAUAGUUUCCAUUAUGAUAUAUCAUAGAGCUCCUUUUUUAUUCAUGAAUGCAUUCAUGAUGACUUCCUCUGUGAUUCCUUUGACGAUUUUCUCGUGGACUCCAAUCAAGCUCGAUGAUAACAAUUUCCUCCAAUGGCAAUAGUAAGUUGAAGCUAAGAUUUGAGAGCGCAAGCUUCAGGGUUUGAUUGUGAAUCUUUCCAUUUCAUCACACUUUAACUGAAGAAGAUUGUGAAACUGGAAGUAAAUCCAGCAUGUUUUGAGUGAAAUCACAAGAUGUUCUCUCUCUAUCAUGACUUCUCUCAUCUCUAGAUGAUUCUCUCAGCUUGCAUAGUUGGAUUCUAUCAUUCUUUGCAAGUGGAGGAGGAAGUGCACAUUCACUUCCAUGCUUCCACUCAUGCAAAAUCACAUCAAUUCUUUUAGUGCACUGUCAGGUGAAAAGGGCAAAUAAAUCUGAGUUUCUUCUUUGGAUGCAAUCCGUUGCUGAUAUAUUAUGGGCCUUUUGGAGACCGUCUCUCCUCCCACUCACCUAGAUGGUGUUUUGGGUGGACUACCCAAUAAAUAUGACUCAUUUGUCACCUCUGUGCUAAGAUGUCCUGAUCCUGUUUCAAUCAGAGAUUGAGUCCCUAUUGUUGGCUCACAAAGCUCAAAUGGCAAAGCACAAGAAUCUCUCUCUCACUAAGUCGAUCUAGGCAAAUGUUGCACUAGUUCCAACUUCAGUUCAACCACCUCAGUUUAAGUGGCACAGGCUCAAAAACAUCUGCUAACUAUGGUUGCCUACUGGUGACUGGUGACUAUCAAAAUGCAGCUCAAGAUUGUGGUAACAUGAGGAGGACCUUAAUCCUCAGUCUCCAGUCCAAUGACAAAUAUGUCACUAGACAGGAACAUGAGACCUCAAUCUAUUAUCACCAAGGGCUGGGACCUCUUGUGUCCAACUUUUUCCUUUUGGCUGUUGCUCUGGCUUUCCAAGCUGUUGUCCUUCAACACUUCAUCCCAGUCUUGCCAUUCCAUGCUGAAUGCCCCUGUCACAGUUUGAAGCUGUCCUUCACAUCAGUAAUGUAGAAUUGCCGACUAAGUUGCGUAUAAUUAAUUUCUGCAUCUCCACAGCUGGCACAGUCUUUACUUACUGGCUUUGAGGUUUAUGAAUUUCAGAUUCAUGCACCACCGAUCAUGUUACAUCUGACCCAUGCAUCCAAUUCAAAGCACUCCUCCCUUGUGCAGAUCAGUUGAAGUCAUCAUGGGGAAUAGGCAAGGACUCGUAUACAGUGCAGCUGGCGGGGACUCUGGGACAUGAUGAACUGUACAGAUUGACAAUUAUUGUCAUUCCAAGAGAUGGUCCUCCUGCUAGUCCCCGGUGUGAAGAAUUCCAACAUUUUACCCUCUACCUUUUUUGCAGUAUAUACUACUGUCUGUAUCUCCUACGUUUAGCUCUUGUAAUUCCUGAUAGACAUGUUAGUUCACCCAAUUGGCACUGUUAAUUUGCGCUUCGUCAUAAUGACAAGCAAAAAAUUAUGCCACUCUGCAAUAUUCCCAGGCCUAAUAAAUAUGCCAAUGGUUUAGAGCUUUUUUGUCCGAGAAAGACCCAUUACCAUCCCUUUUCCCAAUCCAGUAUGAUAUACUCCAAACUUCUUGAAUUCUAGUGGCUAUUCGUGACAUUUGGGGACCUUUAGCUGUAGAUUCUUCUUGUGGCAUCAAAUGUCUAUAAGUGGUGGAAACCAGGUGGGAAGUUCUUCCUGAAAGUUGCAAGAGCUAUCAAAUUUACCCCAAUAUGUUUUUGGGGAAUUUUCGGAUCUCCAUUACCGUUCAGAUACCCAAUGCAUGUGGUGGUGGG